UAUUUUGCACUGAUGCCAAAAGCAUAGUUGACCGCUACAGUAAUUUAGCAUCCAUCUCUUCUCUCUCGCGAUACCCAGUCAGAGUCACUCUCUCAUCCAUCUUCUCACCUCCAAACUCCCUCUCUUCUCUCUCGCGACACCCACAGUCAGCUUAAACCCUCUCUCGCUAUACCCACAGUCACAGUCGCAGUCACUCUCUCAUUCCUCUCACCUUCAGUAUCUCUCUUCUUCACUGAUUUCUUCUCUGUCCUCCAUCUCUGCCGUCAUCUAUUCCUAAACCCUAAAAGAGAGAGCCAUAGACGUCCUCCUCGUCGUCGAGAAGAGCCAUCGCAGUCCCUUCGUUUACCUCCGUCGUCGUCGUCCUCCAGGAAAGAGAAGCUUUGAAAGAAAAAAGGGAGAGAAAUAAGAGGGAAGGUAUUUUAUUGUUCUGUUCUUGUGCAUUUGAUUUGUUACUGAUUUUUUUCUUUUAUUGGCAACUGUGAUUUUGUCUGUAUUAAAAUCAUGGGUUGCAUGAACUAUAUUAGCUAGACAACUAUGGGGGCUUUAGUUAAUUAAUUGUAACAUAUGCUUACAUAUUUGGAACCAAGGAUCAAUUAACAAGACAUUAGUUUGGGGUGAUUCAGUCAGGAACCAAUUAAUCUUUCAAAAGAAAACAAAACUGAGAAUUGGGUUUUGGUCAUAAUGGAACAUUGGAAUUUACAUAUAUUGAAAGCAGAGUAGUCGUAGCUAGGCAUCAUUGUUUUAUAUAUACACUUAAAAUUUACCUAAUUAAGUUUGUCAUAAUUUGUUUUAAUUACUAGCUAGCUUGGUUUACAGUUUAGGUCAUCAGGGGAUUCUAUUGCCCAUGUAGUGGUUGAUGCCAAGUAACUCGUGCGUAUAUUACAUAUUGGCUCCGUGGAUGUGCUUACAAUAGGGCGAUGGAUUUGCUCUAUUUUCCUAGCAACACAUGAAGUCCAAGAUUAGUUCAAGGGCCCUUCUUUGUUUCUUCUAAGUAGUAAGGAUGGGCGUCUGAGAAUUUUGGAUUGUCCAAGCCUGCGAAUAAUUUUAGAUGAACCAAUUGUUCACAAGUCUGUUCGUGAUUUGGAUUUCAGGUAAUAAUACAGUCAGAAUAUUGGGGGUGGGAGUUGUUUCGGCUCUGCUUGUUGAGGUUUACUAGGCUUCAUGUUGUUGUUGGUAUCUACUAUCCAGUGUUUCAUAUUAGUUGAAUCGUGCUUUAGUCAUUGAAUUUGAACUAGGCUUCAUUUGGCACAAUUCCUGUAAAAAAAUCUUCAAGAUUUUUGUAGUAGUGAAGGAAAUGCAAUGUUAACAAUUGUAAUAGUGAAAGCUUUUUGCCGCAAAGUUUUUUUACCAGAAA